rnacentral:rRNA from 1 species
UACGUAGGCAGCGAGCGUUGUUCGGAGUUACUGGGCGUAAAGAGUGUGUAGGUGGUUCUCUAAGUUUGGUGUGAAAUCUCCCGGCUCAACUGGGAGGGUGCGCCGAAAACUGGAGGGCUUGAGUGUGGUAGAGGAAGCUAGAAUUCCCGGUGUAGCGGUGAAAUGCGUAGAUAUCGGGAGGAAUACCUAUGGCGAAAGCAGGCUUCUGGACCAUCACUGACGCUGAUCUGCGAAAGCUAGGGGAGCAAACAGG